rnacentral:rRNA from 1 species
AUUGAACGCUGGCGGCAGGCUUAACACAUGCAAGUCGAACGAGUGGCGGACGGGUGAGUAAUGCUUGGGAAUCUGGCUUAUGGAGGGGGAUAACGACGGGAAACUGUCGCUAAUACCGCGUACCAUAGGAUGAGCCCAAGUGGGAUUAGGUAGUUGGUGGGGUAAUGGCUUACCAAGCCGACGAUCUCUAGCUGGUCUGAGAGGAUGACCAGCCACACCGGGAUGGAGACACGGCCCGGACUCCUACGGGAGGCAGCAGUGGGGAAUAUUGCGCAAUGGGGGCAACACUGACGCAGCCAUGCCGCGUGAAUGAAGAAGGCCUUCGGGUUGUAAAGGACUGUUGUUAGGGAAGCGGGAGAUAAAGAAUAAGCACCGGCUAACUACGUGCCAGCAGCCGCGGUAAUUG